rnacentral:rRNA from 1 species
AUUGAACGCUGGCGGCAUGCUUUACACAUGCAAGUCGAACGGCAGCACGGGCUUCGGCCUGGUGGCGAGUGGCGAACGGGUGAGUAAUAUAUCGGAACGUACCCAGAAGUGGGGGAUAACGUAGCGAAAGUUACGCUAAUACCGCAUACGAUCUAUGGAUGAAAGCUGGGGACCGCAAGGCCUUGUGCUCCUUGAGCGGCCGAUAUCUGAUUAGCUAGUUGGUGAGGUAAAGGCUCACCAAGGCGACGAUCAGUAGCUGGUCUGAGAGGACGACCAGCCACACUGGAACUGAGACACGGUCCAGACUCCUACGUGAGGCAGCAGUGGGGUAGUUUGGACAAUGGGCGCAAGCCUGAUCCAGCAAUGCCGCGUGAGUGACGAAGGCCUUCGGGUUGUAAAGCUCUUUUGUCAGGGAAGAAACGGUAGAGGCUAAUAUCCUUUGCUAAUGACGGUACCUGAAGAAUAAGCACCGGCUAACUACGUG